AUUGAACGCUGGCGGCAUGCCUUACACAUGCAAGUCGAACGGCAGCAUGAUCUAGCUUGCUAGAUUGAUGGCGAGUGGCGCACGGGUGAGUAAUACAUCGGAACGUGCCCUGUCGUGGGGGAUAACUAGUCGAAAGAUUAGCUAAUACCGCAUACGACCUGAGGGUGAAAGUGGGGGACCGCAAGGCCUCAUGCUAUAGGAGCGGCCGAUGUCUGAUUAGCUAGUUGGUGAGGUAAAGGCUCACCAAGGCGACGAUCAGUAGCUGGUCUGAGAGGACGAUCAGCCACACUGGGACUGAGACACGGCCCAGACUCCUACGGGAGGCAGCAGUGGGGAAUUUUGGACAAUGGGCGAAAGCCUGAUCCAGCAAUGCCGCGUGUGUGAAGAAGGCCUUCGGGUUGUAAAGCACUUUUGUCCGGAAAGAAAUGGCUCUGGUUAAUACCUGGGGUCGAUGACGGUACCGGAAGAAUAAGGACCGGCUAACUACGUG
rnacentral:rRNA from 1 species